UACAGAGGGUGCGAGCGUUAAUCGGAAUUACUGGGCGUAAAGCGCACGUAGGCGGCUUUGUAAGUUAGAGGUGAAAGCCCAGGGCUCAACCCUGGAAUUGCCUUUAAGACUGCAUCGCUUGAACAUCGGAGAGGUAAGUGGAAUUCCGAGUGUAGAGGUGAAAUUCGUAGAUAUUCGGAAGAACACCAGUGGCGAAAGGCGACUUACUGGACACAUAUUGACGCUGAGGUGCGAAAGCGUGGGGAGCAAACAGG
rnacentral:rRNA from 1 species